CCUACGGGUGGCAGCAGUGAGGAAUAUUGGUCAAUGGACGGAAGGCUGAACCAGCCAAGCCGCGUGAAGGACGAAGGUGCCAAGAAUUGUAAACUGCUUUUGUCAAGGGACAAAAUCAGGUACGUGAGUCUGACCGAGGGUACUUGACGAAAAAGCAUCGGCUAACUCCGUGCCAGCAGCCGCGGUAAUACGGAGGAUUCGAGCGUUCUACGGAUUUAUUGGGUUUAAAGGGUGCGUAGGCGGGGUGUUAAGGUAGAGGGUAAAGCCCGGGGCUCAACCUCGGGCGGGCCUUUGAUACUGGCUGUCUUGAGAUGUCGAGCGGUAGGCGGAAUGCGCAGUGUAGCGGUGAAAUGCUGAGAGAUUACGCAGAACUCCGAUUGCGAAGGCAGCUUACCGGGGGCGAUCUGACGCUGAGGCACGAAAGCGUGGGUAGCGAACAGGAUUAGAUACCCCUGUAGUC
rnacentral:rRNA from 1 species